rnacentral:misc_RNA from 1 species
AUUUUCAAAGACGUAUUGUGUGUUUUCUGCAUGUUAAUCCCGUCUUAAGCGUAAUUAUCUACAAAGCCGACGGAACAGUAUUGUACUGAAUACUCGUACCUGUCAAUUCUGUGUAUUGUGGCCUCUGUCUUAACUAGUUUACUGCGACUCGACCUCGAACCAUUAUAACAGCACCUUGGUGAUUGGGGGCGAAGACAAAGUUCAUAAAAUGAAAUGGUUAGUUAAAACCUAUCGAUCGCACAAAGAAGAUAAAACUCAGUGAAAUAUAUUGGUAUAGAUACUCAUUCCUCAUACGCUCUUGCAUGGAGCAGGUUUAAUUGAAUUUCGUUGCGUUGGCACGUCCGAUUUGAGCCGACAAGUUCAUUGAAAGCUUAGCCGAACCUCCUCCUCCGCCUCCUUUCUCCGCCUUUAUUUAUCUUCACGACUCAGACGAGAAAACUCGGGAUUGUUGGUUCGACAUUGUGAAAUUCCAAGUUGUUGUUCUGAAGCUAAACAAGCUGGUUCAUAUGGAGCGAAUUAUUCCAGUUGUAUCCCAAUUAAGUCGUUUGAUACCAAACUAGUUAAUUCUGCUGGUUUUGAAUUUUUGCAGACAUAUGUUGUUCACUUCGUUGGAAAGAUAAGGCAACCCUGUAAACAUUUUGCCAAGUUGCUCGAUAAAAUUCCAAGUUAAGCGCGUGACUUCGAAAUUUUAAGUUUUACUUACUUUAAGUACAACUUGACACUUACAUUUACACUUUCAAACAGAUGACAGAUGAACAAAACUUUUGAGUAUUUCGAUAAAUUAAAUGCUUUAGAAAUCUCUUGUGAGAACGUCACAUUUCAAUCCUUUAUUGUUAUCAGAAGUUUUUUUCUUUUUUUUUAUGUUAGGAAAAGGUACGGAUAAAGAUGUUUAUAUGACCAACCUUUCAAACAUAUCAAUGAAUUGAAUUUCGAACAAUUCUCUUAUUAA